GUCAUUCAAGACCAGAUGAGAAAAAGGGGGACCUUCCCAGCGGCCCCUUCGCAAUAAGGCUCAGUCCCGACUCCUACGGGAGCCGGACUUCACCCUCAACUUCGACCGCUGGUAAGCUCCAUCCGGACUCCUACGGGAGCCAGAUUUUGCCUCUGACUUCAAUUUCAGGUAGACUCCGUCCGGACUCCCACGGGAGCCGGACUUCGCCCCGACUUCACCUAUGGGAGCCGGACUCCCGUGGCCCCACCAAGAGCGGAGGAAAAAUCCCACUCGAAAAAGAAAAAGGGGGGA
rnacentral:lncRNA from 1 species